AAAUGAAUAGACGGGGGCCCGCACAAGCAGUGGAGUAUGUGGUUUAAUUCGAAGAUACGCGAAAAACCUUACCAGGUCUUGACAUCCGACUAACGAAGUAGAGAUACAUUAGGUGCCCUUCGGGGAAAGUCGAGACAGGUGGUGCAUGGUUGUCGUCAGCUCGUGUCGUGAGAUGUUGGGUUAAGUCCCGCAACGAGCGCAACCCUUACGGUUAGUUGCUACGAAAGAGCACUCUAACAGGACUGCCGUUGACAAAACGGAGGAAGGUGGGGAUGACGUCAAAUCAUCAUGCCCUUUAUGACCUGGGCUACACACGUACUACAAUGGUUGUUAACAGAGGGAUGCAAUAGAGUAAUCUGGAGCUAACCCCUAAAAACAGUCUCAGUUCAGAUUGCAGGCUGAAACUCGCCUGUAUGAAGAUGGAAUUGCUAGUAAUCGCGAAUCAGCAUGUCGCGGUGAAUACGUUCCCGGGCCUUGUACACACCGCCCGU
rnacentral:rRNA from 1 species